rnacentral:tRNA from 1 species
UUAUUUUAAAUAGAAUAUCUAUAUUGCUUUUAGAUGGUGCUUAUAAUGGGCUUUAGUUAGUUAGGUUAUU